UAAAAAAUUUGGCGGUAUUUUAGUCUAUUCAGAGGAACCUGUUCUGUAAUCGAUAUUCCACGAUGGACCUCACUUAAAUUUGUUUAUCAGUUUAUAUACCGUCGUUAUUAGAAUAUUUUAUAAGAAUGUUAAUUUUCAUAAUUUUAAAAAAGAAAAUAUAUCAGAUCAAGGUGUAGCUUAUAUUUAAGUAGAAAUGGGUUACAAUAAAAUUAUUUAAAUGAAUGUAAAUUUGAAAUAUUUAUUGAAAGUGGAUUUGAUAGUAAAAUUAUAAAGAUUAUUAAUUUGAUUUUAGCUCUAAAAUAUGUACACAUCGCCCGUCACUCUUAUUAUUAAGGUAAGAUAAGUCGUAACAUAGUAGAUGUACUGGAAAGUGUCUCUAGAAUUCAAUUUAAAGCUUAAUAGUAAAGUAUUUCAUUUACAUUGAAAGGAUUUUUGUGCAAAUCAAUAUAAAUUGAUUAGUUUUUAUUUAUUAAUUUUUUUUUUGAAUAAAAUUAAUUAUUAAAAAUAAUUAUAAAUUUUAAUGUUUUAGUAUUUUAUAAAGAAAAAAUAAUUUUAAUAAUAGUUAAAUAGUAUUGUA
rnacentral:rRNA from 1 species